AACGAACGCUGGCGGCAGGCUUAACACAUGCAAGUCGAACGCACCGCAAGGUGAGUGGCAGACGGGUGAGUAACACGUGGGGAUCUGCCCAAUGGUACGGAAUAGCUCCGGGAAACUGGAAUUAAUACCGUAUGUGCCCUUCGGGGGAAAGAUUUAUCGCCAUUGGAUGAACCCGCGUCGGAUUAGCUAGUUGGUGUGGUAAAGGCGCACCAAGGCGACGAUCCGUAGCUGGUCUGAGAGGAUGAUCAGCCACACUGGGACUGAGACACGGCCCAGACUCCUACGGGAGGCAGCAGUGGGGAAUAUUGGACAAUGGGCGCAAGCCUGAUCCAGCCAUGCCGCGUGAGUGAUGAAGGCCCUAGGGUUGUAAAGCUCUUUCGCCGACGAAGAUAAUGACGGUAGUCGGAGAAGAAGCCCCGGCUAACUUCGUGCCAGCCGCCGCAGUAAGAC
rnacentral:rRNA from 1 species